UAUAUUUGCAAUUGAUAAAUUUAUUAAAUACAUAAUAAUUAUUUAAAUAAUAUUGGCAUG
rnacentral:ncRNA from 1 species